rnacentral:rRNA from 1 species
GGGCCCGCACAAGCGGAGGAGCAUGUGGUUUAAUUCGAUGAUACGCGAGGAACCUUACCAGGGCUAGAACGCAAGUUGAUUAUGUGCGAAAGUAUAUAUCUCUUCGGAGCAAUUUGCGAGGUGCUGCAUGGUUGUCGUCAGCUCGUGCCGUGAGGUGUCAGGUUAAGUCCUAUAACGAGCGCAACCCCUACUCUUAGUUGCCAGCAUGUCAUGAUGGGGACUCUAAGAGAACUGCCUACGCAAGUAGAGAGGAAGGUGGGGAUGACGUCAAAUCAGCACGGCCCUUAUGUCCUGGGCUACACACGUGCUACAAUGGUCGGUACAGAGGGCAGCUACCUGGCGACAGGAUGCUAAUCUCAAAAGCCGAUCUCAGUUCGGAUCGGAGUCUGCAACUCGACUCCGUGAAGUUGGAUUCGCUAGUAAUCGCGCAUCAGCCAUGGCGCGGUGAAUACGUUCCCGGGCCUU